rnacentral:ncRNA from 1 species
GGAGGAAUUAAGGCCCUCCGGAGUCUGCCUACAGGGGCUGGCUUCAAACCACCGUUGAGCGGCAUUAGCUGAAGACUGUUGUCGUGAGCGUCAAGGGAAAAAGCGUACCCAUGUGGUGCGUCAGGU